AGCGCAUACGGUGGAUGCCUUGGCAGUCAGAGGCGAUGAAAGACGUGGUAGCCUGCGAAAAGCUUCGGGGAGUCGGCAAACAGACUGUGAUCCGGAGAUGUCUGAAUGGGGGAACCCAGCCAUCAUAAGAUGGUUAUCUUGUACUGAAUACAUAGGUGCAAGAGGCGAACCAGGGGAACUGAAACAUCUAAGUACCCUGAGGAAAAGAAAUCAACCGAGAUUCCCUUAGUAGUGGCGAGCGAACGGGGACCAGCCCUUAAGUUGUAUUGAGAUUAGCGGAACGUUCUGGAAAGGACGGCCAUAGUGGGUGAUAGCCCUGUACGCGAAAAUCCCUUUGCAAUGAAAUCGAGUAGGACGGGGCACGAGAAACCUUGUCUGAAUAUGGGGGGACCAUCCUCCAAGGCUAAAUACUACUGACUGACCGAUAGUGAACCAGUACCGUGAGGGAAAGGCGAAAAGAACCGCGGAGAGCGGAGUGAAAUAGAUCCUGAAACCGUAUGCGUACAAGCAGUGGGAGCCCACUUUGUUGGGUGACUGCGUACCUUUUGUAUAAUGGGUCAGCGACUUAUUUUCAGUGGCGAGCUUAACCGAAUAGGGGAGGCGUAGCGAAAGCGAGUCUUAAUAGGGCGUCUAGUCGCUGGGAAUAGACCCGAAACCGGGCGAUCUAUCCAUGGGCAGGUUGAAGGUUGGGUAACACUAACUGGAGGACCGAACCGACUACCGUUGAAAAGUUAGCGGAUGACCUGUGGAUCGGAGUGAAAGGCUAAUCAAGCUCGGAGAUAGCUGGUUCUCCUCGAAAGCUAUUUAGGUAGCGCCUCAUGUAUCACUGUAGGGGGUAGAGCACUGUUUCGGCUAGGGGGUCAUCCCGACUUACCAAACCGAUGCAAACUCCGAAUACCUACAAGUGCCGAGCAUGGGAGACACACGGCGGGUGCUAACGUCCGUCGUGAAAAGGGAAACAACCCAGACCGUCAGCUAAGGUCCCAAAGUCAUGGUUAAGUGGGAAACGAUGUGGGAAGGCUUAGACAGCUAGGAGGUUGGCUUAGAAGCAGCCACCCUUUAAAGAAAGCGUAAUAGCUCACUAGUCGAGUCGGCCUGCGCGGAAGAUGUAACGGGGCUCAAACCAUGCACCGAAGCUACGGGUAUCAUCUUUUGAUGAUGCGGUAGAGGAGCGUUCUGUAAGCCUGUGAAGGUGAGUUGAGAAGCUUGCUGGAGGUAUCAGAAGUGCGAAUGCUGACAUGAGUAACGACAAUGGGUGUGAAAAACACCCACGCCGAAAGACCAAGGUUUCCUGCGCAACGUUAAUCGACGCAGGGUUAGUCGGUCCCUAAGGCGAGGCUGAAAAGCGUAGUCGAUGGAAAACAGGUUAAUAUUCCUGUACUUCUGGUUAUUGCGAUGGAGGGACGGAGAAGGCUAGGCCAGCCUGGCGUUGGUAGUCCAGGUUUAAGGUGGUAGGCUGAGAUCUUAGGUAAAUCCGGGAUCUUAAGGCCGAGAGCUGAUGACGAGUGUUCUUUUAGAACACGAAGUGGUUGAUGCCAUGCUUCCAAGAAAAGCUUCUAAGCUUCAGGUAACCAGGAACCGUACCCCAAACCGACACAGGUGGUUGGGUAGAGAAUACCAAGGCGCUUGAGAGAACUCGGGUGAAGGAACUAGGCAAAAUGGCACCGUAACUUCGGGAGAAGGUGCGCCGGUGGAGGUGAAGCAUUUACUGCGUAAGCCCCUGCCGGUCGAAGAUACCAGGCCGCUGCGACUGUUUAUUAAAAACACAGCACUCUGCAAACACGAAAGUGGACGUAUAGGGUGUGACGCCUGCCCGGUGCCGGAAGGUUAAUUGAUGGGGUUAGCGCAAGCGAAGCUCUUGAUCGAAGCCCCGGUAAACGGCGGCCGUAACUAUAACGGUCCUAAGGUAGCGAAAUUCCUUGUCGGGUAAGUUCCGACCUGCACGAAUGGCGUAACGAUGGCGGCGCUGUCUCCACCCGAGACUCAGUGAAAUUGAAAUCGCUGUGAAGAUGCAGUGUAUCCGCGGCUAGACGGAAAGACCCCGUGAACCUUUACUAUAGCUUUGCACUGGACUUUGAAUUUGCUUGUGUAGGAUAGGUGGGAGGCUUUGAAGCGUGGACGCCAGUCUGCGUGGAGCCAACCUUGAAAUACCACCCUGGCAACUUUGAGGUUCUAACUCAGGUCCGUUAUCCGGAUCGAGGACAGUGUAUGGUGGGUAGUUUGACUGGGGCGGUCUCCUCCUAAAGAGUAACGGAGGAGUACGAAGGUGCGCUCAGACCGGUCGGAAAUCGGUCGUAGAGUAUAAAGGCAAAAGCGCGCUUGACUGCGAGACAGACACGUCGAGCAGGUACGAAAGUAGGUCUUAGUGAUCCGGUGGUUCUGUAUGGAAGGGCCAUCGCUCAACGGAUAAAAGGUACUCCGGGGAUAACAGGCUGAUACCGCCCAAGAGUUCAUAUCGACGGCGGUGUUUGGCACCUCGAUGUCGGCUCAUCACAUCCUGGGGCUGAAGCCGGUCCCAAGGGUAUGGCUGUUCGCCAUUUAAAGUGGUACGCGAGCUGGGUUUAGAACGUCGUGAGACAGUUCGGUCCCUAUCUGCCGUGGACGUUUGAGAUUUGAGAGGGGCUGCUCCUAGUACGAGAGGACCGGAGUGGACGAACCUCUGGUGUUCCGGUUGUCACGCCAGUGGCAUUGCCGGGUAGCUAUGUUCGGAAAAGAUAACCGCUGAAAGCAUCUAAGCGGGAAACUUGCCUCAAGAUGAGAUCUCACUGGAACCUUGA
rnacentral:rRNA from 3 species